CAGCAGCCGCGGGAAUACGUAGGGUGCGAGCGUUAAUCGGAAUUACUGGGCGUAAAGCGUGCGCAGGCGGUUGUGUAAGACAGGUAUGAAAUCCCCGGGCUUAACCUGGGAACUGCGCUUGUGACUGCACAGCUAGAGUAUGGCAGAGGGGGGUGGAAUUCCACGUGUAGCAGUGAAAUGCGUAGAGAUGUGGAGGAACACCGAUGGCGAAGGCAGCCCCCUGGGCCAAUACUGACGCUCAUGCACGAAAGCGUGGGGAGCAAACAGGAUUAGAUACCCGUGUAGUCCCUGUCUCUUAUAU
rnacentral:rRNA from 1 species